GACGAACGCUGACGGCGUGCUUAACACAUGCCAGUCGAACGGAAAGGCCCUGCUUGCAGGGUACUCGAGUGGCGAACGGGUGAGUAACACGUGGGUGAUCUGCCCUGCACUUCGGGAUAAGCCUGGGAAACUGGGUCUAAUACCGGAUAGGAGCCAUUUUUAGUGUGAUGGUUGGAAAGUUUUUUCGGUGUAGGAUGAGCUCGCGGCCUAUCAGCUUGUUGGUGGGGUAAUGGCCUACCAAGGCGGCGACGGGUAGCCGGCCUGAGAGGGUGGACGGCCACAUUGGGACUGAGAUACGGCCCAGACACCUACGGGAGGCAGCAGUGGGGAAUAUUGCACAAUGGGCGCAAGCCUGAUGCAGCGACGCCGCGUGGGGGAUGACGGCCUUCGGGUUGUAAACUCCUUUCGCUAGGGACGAAGCUUUUUGUGACGGUACCUAGAUAAGAAGCACCGGCUAACUACGUG
rnacentral:rRNA from 1 species